rnacentral:lncRNA from 1 species
AUCAGAUGAGAAACUAUUCUCAGUAAUGCCAUAUUUAGAAUGAGAAUUAUCUGCAAAAAACAACUUAAAGGGAGACCCCAAAGGUAAUGGGCUAAGUCUUCUGUCCAAACCUUCCUUUUCGGCUUUAUCUUUGGACUGGGAGUCCCAGGAGUCCUGGCUGCUAUCAGGGACGCGUAUCCCAGACACACCUCUUUGCAGAGGCCUGUUCAUUCUCUAAGCAAGAUGGUUGAUGCAAAUACUUAUUAACACACCCAGAAACCAAUAAAAGAAUGCUAUCCCAACAUCAUUCGAAUUUGUGAGGUAAAAAUCAUUGGUUAAAUCUGCCUCCACUUAAUCAAAUACAAACCUGUAAUAAUAAAAAUCAGAUAACAUGUCAAGAUUGAUGUGUUCAUUUCAAACAGAACAAGGCAGCUAGUAAAAACACCAAUUCAGUAAUUAAGCAAACCAAACAUCCUAUUCAAAAAAUAAAAAACAUGUGAAUAACGAGAGGGUACAACAUUAAUUAAUUCACCGCACCAGAUCCAUCACGGACCCAACAUUGAAAUGGAAAUGUACGAAUUAAAAAAAAAAAAAAAACAAACAACUAGUGGAAAUUGUAAGAUUCGAAGAAAUUAAGUUAAAGUUAUGCAAAUCACUAGCAGUUAGUUCCAUAAGUAUUCACUAAAACACUCAUAAAAAGCACAGUCUUCAGAAAGAAAGAAAAGAAAACUCUUUCAUUGUUCAUACAAAACUACAAAUCGAAACCCAGAAGCAAAUCAGAGAAACACAUGAGUCAUUUUCUUUUUUUUUUCAAAAAUAAUAAAAUUUGCCAUCGCCAUCGAAAACCAGAAGCGAGUAAAAACAAAACACAUUUAACGUAUCGCAAUGGAAGUUCAGAGAGGAAAAACAAAACCCCAUUUAGAUCAAUGCAGCAGGUAACACAAAGAGUGAAAAAAACAACCAUGUCAGAUCAAAAAACAGUGAAAAUGAAGAGCUCGCUUAUGAACAAGCAAUGACAACAAGUACCUUGUUGGUUUCUCGGUGCAUUCCAUAAACGAAUCACGAAGAACAACACUACCUCUUUGCGUGUUUUUCUUCUUGUUCACCUUCGAUUUGGUUUGGUUUGGUUAUUUCUUCUCUGAAUCACUCACUCACUCACUGGUUCAAUUCGAAUGCUAACACUAUGUUUAGGAAACAAAGACGAACAUGAGAGAGCAAGCAGAGAUUUUGUACUGAUCCAGAUUGCGAUUCAUGACACCACUCCCAUGCCAAUUAAUAAUAAAUUCCAGAAAUUAAGAAAAAGAGGUCACAUUAAAUUCCAUUUAAUAAUGCUGAGUUAAAUUAAAUUUACAACCAUUUCAUGUGUUUAUUUAUUAAUCCUGAUAAUUAAGACAAGCAGUAAAUAAUAGAAUAAGAUAUAUAUUCACGGGUACCAUUUAUCUACUCUUAGCCUUACGAACAUAGGAAGGGAGCUACCUAAAAAGAUACCCUAAAUAAUC